rnacentral:rRNA from 1 species
CCUACGGGUGGCAGCAGUGGGGAAUAUUGCACAAUGGGCGAAAGCCUGAUGCAGCGACGCCGCGUGAGUGAUGAAGUAAUUCGGUACGUAAAGCUCUAUCAGCAGGGAAGAAAAUGACGUUACCUGAGUAAGAAGCCCCGGCUAACUACGUGCCAGCAGCCGCGGUAAGACGUAGGGCGCAAGCGUUAUCCGGAUUUACUGGGUGUAAAGGGAGCGUAGGGGGUUUGCCAAGUCUGGAGUGAAAUGCUGCAGCUCAACUGGGGAACUGCUUUGGAAACUGGCGAACUAGAGUGCGGGAGGGGUAAGCGGAAUUCGUGGUGUAGCGGUGAAAUGCGUAGAUAUUAGGAGGAACACCGGUGGCGAAGGCGGCUUACUGGACCGUAACUGACGUUGAGGCUCGAAAGCGUGGGGAGCAAACAGGAUUAGAUACCCGAGUAGUC